rnacentral:rRNA from 1 species
AUUGAACGCUGGCGGCAGGCUUAACACAUGCAAGUCGAGCGGAGAGAGGUAGCUUGCUACCGAUCUUAGCGGCGGACGGGUGAGUAAUGCUUAGGAAUCUGCCUAUUAGUGGGGGACAACAUUUCGAAAGGAAUGCUAAUAACGCAUACGUCCUACGGGAGAAAGCAGGGGAUCUUCGGACCUUGCGCUAAUAGAUGAGCCUAAGUCGGAUUAGCUAGUUGGUGGGGUAAAGGCCUACCAAGGCGACGAUCUGUAGCGGGUCUGAGAGGAUGAUCCGCCACACUGGGACUGAGACACGGCCCAGACUCCUACGGGAGGCAGCAGUGGGGAAUAUUGGACAAUGGGCGCAAGCCUGAUCCAGCCAUGCCGCGUGUGUGAAGAAGGCCUUAUGGUUGUAAAGCACUUUAAGCGAGGAGGAGGCUACUUUAGUUAAUACCUAGAGAUAGUGGACGUUACUCGCAGAAUAAGCACCGGCUAACUCUGUGCCAGCAGCCGCGGUAAUAC